AGGAGGUUGAAUAGGGUUAGAAAGACGGCAUGACUAUAUCUCUAAUGUAGACCUAAAGUGCUUCCUAGAGCUAGGGACCAGGAUUCUAAAUGAGACCUGAGGGAAUGGAGCUGUUGUUGACAAGAGCUGUUAGACAAACAGGACAUGGAGGAGGGAAGGUAUCCUUCUGCAGUUUGGGGGAUCUGAAGAAAAGCUGAGCAGAUCAGAAAUGAACUCAGCAGAAUUAACAUUAGAAAGAGAGAAACAAGGACACCAAGAAGCAAUUUCACCCAGGAAAGCAUUCUGUUAUGAAAUCCAAGCUCUCUUUACAUGAAGACUCAGCCUGCAGACAGCUCCCUACACAUGCACCCCACAGGGAAGGCUGCUUGUCACCAGCAACCAUCUCCAUCCACAUUCCCCCCGCCCUGCCCCCACGAGAAGCCUGCCUUCAGUUGUCCCAAUUACAGGGAAGCCUGCUGAGGAAACAGAACUGUCUGAAUGCAAAGGAAAUUUAGCUCUUAUGAAUAUGAACUCUCAACCAAGAAUCACCAGACGUUUAAGGAAAACCAAGAACACAAAAGAGAAAGAUCAAGAUUAAAAAAACAGCUGGGCGUGGUGGCUCUUGCCUGUAAUCCCAGCACUUUGGGAGGCUGAGGCGGGAGGAUCGCUUGAGCAUAGGAGUUCGAGACUAACCUGGACAAUAUAGUGAGACCUCGUGUCUACAUAAAAUUUAAAAAUUAAUUAGCUGGGCAUGGUGUUGUGCACCUGUAGACCCAACUACUCAGGAGGCUGAGGUGGGAGGAUCCUUUGAGCCUGAGAUGUUGACGGUGCAGUGAGCUGUGAUAGCUAAAUGAGAUCACUCUGUAAAACAAACAAACAACAACAAUAAAACCAGAGCCAUCUUCUGAAAAAACAGAAAUCAUUGAGAAAUAAUAAAAGAACUUAAAAGUUCUAAUAUCCUUAGAAACAGGUGGAUAUUGUUU
rnacentral:lncRNA from 1 species